AAAAGUUUCCCCCUUCAAGUCCAGGCAGUCAAAUAAUAAGCAUAUCUAGAUUGAGAUUUAUCUAAAUUUAUCUAGACGGAGACUUUCUGAAAUGUAUGUAAAUUUCUAUAAUUGCAUAUCUAUAAUUAUAUAAUUACAUUCAUUUCUACAUAGAUUAAAUGGUGGAAUUUAUACACACACACAUAUAAAAACUUCUGAGUUCUGUUUUCUUUUAAUCUUCCAGAAGGAUGAUCAGUGGACUUUCACCCAUAAGGUAACAUUUCAAAACAGAAAUUGCUUCGCUCGUCACUAGCAUUGUCUGAAACACAGUUACAGUAUAAUUAUUCACCUGAUAGGGCUCUGCAGUCAAAGCACAGACUCAUAGAACAUUCUGUGUCUAAAGAAAUCAUCUUUGGGAGGCUUGGCGACUUCUGGGUCUGAUCGAAUGAAAUCAUCUCCCGGGUAGCCGCAUUCCAUCCCCACAAGGAGAACUCACUUCCAAUGAACAAUUGAAUGGUUACCAAUUUUCCUAAAUGACAAAAGAAGACCUAAGGUUUAAAGGCCAGACUCUCCCAGAGGUGUAAGAACAGGAGAUGCACCUUCUCCAUGUGUGUGGGUACCAAGCUUACUAAUUGCAGGCCCAGUAAUUGCAUCUUCCAGAUGUGUCCAAUCCUGUAUGUAAACUCACUGCCUGGAGCCUUUUGAACAAACAAGCCCUUUUUUUUUCAGGGUGGUGGGGCAGGGGAAGGGAAGUCUAACAGACAGCUGGGUUUCCCCAGCACUCCUGGGCCCUGCUAGUCAUUUGGCUACAGUUUUGCUUCUCUUGAAAAGUCUUCUGCCUGGAUCACCCCAUUCCAGCUCACCCUUGAAUGAGUCAUGAGGCUGCUGUUCACACCCGGCAUCGAACUUUCGGCAAAGCCUGUGAUUCUGUGGUCCUGCUCAGAGACCACCAGACUUAAACUCUGCCCUGAGUAGCUAGGAGUUCCCAGACUUCCGUCUUCCCAAAGACAGCUUCAGUGGCUGAUCAGUCAUCAGUGUUCUUAGUCCCCCCCCCUUUUUUUUUUCUUUUUAGGGCCACACCUGUGGCAUGUGGAAGUUCUGGAGCUGGGAGUGGAGUCAGAGCUACAGCUUCAGACCUACACCACAGCUCAUGGCACCACCAGAUCCUUAACCCACGGAGCGGGGCCAGGGCUUGAACCUGCAUCCUCACGGAUACUAGCUUGGGUUCUUAACCCACUGAGCCACAACAGGGAAUCCAGUGUUCUUACUUGUAAAUGCCCCUCUUUGUAAUUCUGACCAGUGAGCUGUAACACAGCAAGAAAUGAAGGAGGAUUUGUUUCACCUCAAGACAUGAUUCCUCAAAUGACCGCAUCCUGUUAGAGGUAAACGUAGCUGUUUAAUAGGUUAAUUACAUGAGAAACAGAGCGAUUAAAAGAAAAUAGGAGACAGCUAGCCAUUCCUUUUAGUAAUUAGUAGACUAGAGCAAAGUUAUUUGUCAUGGCAGUUAUUAAGCUUGAGCUGUUGGUUAAGCAAAGAAAUCCUACCUUGCCUAACCGUUAGCACUAGCUAAAGGUUAGUACUGGCAUGGUUGAGGGGCUCAGGGUAACACAAUAAGUAAUAAGCCACAGAUUUUUCUAAAAUCCGUUCAAUCCUUCUGCACCCGGCAUGCACUCCAUAGCUCCUACUGGCUCCAACACAAACCACUGGAAGAAAAUUCCUUUUUGUUUAGGCUCAUUGCUUCUAAAGUAUGCAGAGCUGUUAACUUGCAGCAGGAGAACAAUGGAUGUUCUCACUGGCUUCUGGAGAUAAGACUCGAAUUCAAAAAGACUCCUGUUCGUAUGAAUGGUAUCUAGGCUGGACUCCUGCCAGCCACAGCGAAUUGAAUGUGUGCAGGUGGAUUUGGCUGGCCUGUCCCAAGUCUUACCUACACCCCCUUGGAGUGUUCGGCCACCCAACCACAGAGCAAUUACAGUGGCUUCAGGAAUGAGGUGAACGAUGAUCAAAGCGAGGCCCUCCUAGUGUUUCAGAGACCAGACCAUCCCAAAGCGUUCCAUCAGGGGCCAGACCACCCUCUCGGCAGCAACGUUAGGAGACCAGAAAAACUGAUGGUGGUUGAAUGAGGUAAACUGGAAGGAGCUCUUCCAACCUUGCAGUGCUGUGAAAUGGCCUCAUUCCAAAUCAUUUCUCAGCAUUCGGAGAAAAUUAUGGCUUCUGAAUUAACUCAAAAAAGAGUUCCAAAACGAUGCUUGGCUCAGCUGGAUGUUACAGAAAGAGAAAAGGUGAGAUCUGUCUUAAAGGGUCACAGAGCCAAAUACGAAUAGGAGUAAUCGUGAUGGUAGUUGUAAUAAUAACAAUAAUAUCAAUAGUAUCAAUAAUAUAAUAGUAAUAGAGCCUCCAAAGUUAUUCCUCUCUUUUUCUUGUGACCCAGUGAAAUUCACUUUUCUUUAGAGCAACCUACCCCGUGUUUUAGUUAAGCUAAUCUCCGAGUCAAUUUUCCUUCUCUUGGAGAAAAAAAAAAUUAACUAGGCUACAGCAGCCAAUGGAAGCUGAAGAUGUUUUGUGACAGGCUGAGUUUUGGAGAAGAAAAUCUGGAAAAAACAAACACUAGAUAAUCUAGACAAAGAUAAUUCGGAGCUGAUGUUCCUUGGUAGAAAAUGCCAUUGACUUUGAUGCUGAUGCUGGAAGCGCGCAAAAUAAACUUUUCCUAACUGUACACCACUGUACUGGGAAUGUUAUCUUUUUGAAGGAAAAAAAAAAAGGCAUCGGAGAGUUAGCAGGAUGAAGACAUGGAAAUACAAUAGGAACAAGCUCCAGAAAGUGACUUCUGUCAACAUUAAAGGACAUUUUUUUUUUUUUUUUUUUUUUUUUUUGCUGUAUACACAGUUUACACUUAGUUUCCUCAUUGAAAAGCUUAAAAAGCUGCCUUGAUUCUCAGAGCUUUGUGCCUAGCAGAGUAUUUGGCUCUUACCACGGAGACAUUGUGUUUCCAGUGAGUUUUGCUUUUCAAAAGGCAGGAAGAGAGGAAACACAGGGUUGCUAGACCGGCAGCAGGAUAACACAGGAACCACCCCAACCUACCUGCCUGCCAAAAGCUUCAGUGCUACAGCUUCUCUGCCAGCCAGGACCAGGUGGGUAGCAGACGCUCUGUUGGAUGCAGUUUAUGUGAGUUCCCCAAAUGAGACCCAAGGCCAAAAUCACCUAAUAGGUUUCAUAUGCCGUGUUCAUUAUUCAUUGAACAAAUAGGUAUCAAGUUCCCACUGUGUACCAAGCCCGGGGCUGGGUGCCGGGGGCCACAGCCUGGGGGAAAACU
rnacentral:lncRNA from 1 species